UGCACGUCUAAGCAGCCUGGUCAAG
rnacentral:piRNA from 1 species